rnacentral:rRNA from 1 species
CGAACGGGUGAGUAACACGUGGGUAACCUGCCCAUCAGAAGGGGAUAACACUUGGAAACAGGUGCUAAUACCGUAUAACAAUCAAAACCGCAUGGUUUUGAUUUGAAAGGCGCUUUCGGGUGUCGCUGAUGGAUGGACCCGCGGUGCAUUAGCUAGUUGGUGAGGUAACGGCUCACCAAGGCCACGAUGCAUAGCCGACCUGAGAGGGUGAUCGGCCACAUUGGGACUGAGACACGGCCCAAACUCAUACGGGAGGCAGCAGUAGGGAAUCUUCGGCAAUGGACGAAAGUCUGACCGAGCAACGCCGCGUGAGUGAAGAAGGUUUUCGGAUCGUAAAACUCUGUUGUUAGAGAAGAACAAGGAUGAGAGUAACUGUUCAUCCCUUGACGGUAUCUAACCAGAAAGCCACGGCUAACUACGUGCCAGCAGCCGCGGUAAUACGUAGGUGGCAAGCGUUGUCCGGAUUUAUUGGGCGUAAAGCGAGCGC